ACUUUUUUAGUACAACAAGUAUAUUUGACUUCCAAUCAAAAGGUUUUGGUUUUAAACCCAAAAAAAAGUA
rnacentral:tRNA from 1 species